rnacentral:rRNA from 1 species
AUUGAACGCUGGCGGCAGGCCUAACACAUGCAAGUCGAGCGAGCGGCGGACGGGUGAGUAAUGUAUGGGGACUGCCCGAUAGAGGGGGAUAACUACUGGAAACGGUGGCUAAUACCGCAUACUAUCGGAUAACCCAUAUGGGAUUAGCUAGUAGGUGGGGUAAAGGCUCACCUAGGCGACGAUCUCUAGCUGGUCUGAGAGGAUGAUUAGACAAACGGGGACUAAGACACGGCCCAGACUCCUACGGGGGGAGCAGUGGGAAAUAGUGCACAAGGAGCGCAAGCCGGAUGCAGCCAUGCCGCGUGUAUGAAGAAGGCUUUAGGGUUGUAAAGUACUUUCAGCGGGGAGGCGUUACCCGCAGAAGAAGCACCGGCUAACUACGUGCCAGCAGCCGCGGUAAUUC